UACGAACUGUGCGAACGUUAUUCGGAAUCACUGGGCUUAAAGGGUGCGUAGGCGGCUGCCUAAGUCAGGUGUGAAAUCUCCCGGCUCAACCGGGAAACUGCGCUUGAUACUGGGCGGCUAGAGUCUGGUAGGGGGAUCUGGAAUUCCUGGUGUAGCGGUGAAAUGCGCAGAUAUCAGGAGGAACACCGGUGGCGAAGGCGGGUCUCUGGGCCGAUACUGACGCUGGAGGAGCGAAAGCGUGGGGAGCGAACAGG
rnacentral:rRNA from 1 species